UUUCUUCGGGGCAGGGUGACAGAUCCGUAGAAGGAGAAGAAUUCCCUACCGGCGGUAUAGUCCGCGAGCCGCAUUGGCGGUUGAUUUGGUGAAAUUCCAAAACCGACAGUAUAGUCUGGAUGAGAGAAGA
rnacentral:ncRNA from 1 species